rnacentral:lncRNA from 1 species
AGCUGCUCUACUAAAGGAACUGACUGACCCUAAAGCACAAACUCGCAGACAGAGAGGAGCCGGACAAAAAAAGGCCAACAGAUCUGCAACAUGGAGGUAAAGAGUUAAAGAAAUGCUGCAAACCUUAAUGUUUCUGAUGAUGCAUCCAGUUACAAGGUUCCCUGUGCAAUUAAUAGCAUCAGUAUUUUUUAUUAAUUGAAAUGCAUCAAAACUAAUCAGAUCAAAAUCAAUCCAGUUGAAUUACAUUGAAUCAAAGCAGACAGAAUUGGAUCAGAAUUGAUUUAGAAAUCAGGGCUCAUACCUAGCCCUUGUCAGUACCUACCCGGAUUGGUUUAAACCCCCAAUACUAAGACAGGAGCCAUGAACGACUGUGCUCAUGGGUGACUACUACUAGAGCUCAACCUGCUGAAAAGGCAAAUCCUGGUUCUGAUAGAAAGGUGCCAGAACACACAGUGUAUCACAGUUUGUUUGUGUAUGACUUUUUGUAGCUGCACACCAUUCAGGGUGACUAUGUAAACCCAUGUCUACUGUGGAAAGUGCCUAUAACUAACACAUGAGCAUGUAAGAAUGUUGCCUCCAGUUUCCCCAGAUCUCAAUUCAGUUGAGCUUCGGUGAGAUGUUAUAAACCAAGUCUGGUCCACAGAGGCCCAAACUCACAACUUAAAGGACUUGUAGACCUGCUGCAGAUGUCUCAGUGUCAGAUACUGCAGCACACCUUCAAGAGUCUAAAAGAGCCCAAGUCUUAUGAGGUAGUGGCUGACACAAUAUCAGGGCAGUGAGUUAUAAUAUUUCAACUUUAGUUCUCUGCACCAACUUUGUACUUUGACUCAAAACAAAAACAAGAUAAACUUUUAUUAUUUUAGUGUUGCAUCUACCUCUGUGAAUUCCUCGUGGAGGCCUAUUUGGAGAUGGAUCAUCAGAGUCUCUCCCUUAGCUGUUUAAUAUUUAGGAAAUCAUAGUUUUGCAGUUCAUUCACAGAAAAAUCUGUUUGUGCAUGUGUAUAAGAUUAUGAGAUUAUGAUGCCUCAAAUGUUUUCAAGGAGGGAUAAGUCAGGACUCCAGGCGGGGGUGUCAACACAGUCAUUUUUGGAAGUGACUUUGAACCAGCGCAGUGAUUUCCACUACAGAGUCCUGUCUGUUUUUAAUGCAGUGCUGCCUGAGGGCCUAAAGAUCAGGACCAUCCAGUCUUGGUUUUGGUCCUCGUCCCUUUAGUACAGACAUUUCUCCAGACUCUCUGAAUCUUUUAAUGUUAUUAUGUUCUGUAGAUGAUAAAAUCCACUUAUUCUCUCACAUUUGACACUUAGGAACAUUAUUCUGAAACUGUUGAACUCACAGAGUGGUGAACCUCUUCCCAUCUUUCCUUCUGAGAGACUCUUAAAUUCAUUUUUAUAUCCAGUCAUGUUACUAACCUGUUGGACAUUAACCUCAUUAGUUGGAGAUGUUUGUCCAGCUGUUUGUUUUUUUUUCACAUAUAUUUUUGUAAUACAUAUUUUUUUUUACCAGUUUGGUUGUGUCUGAACCAACAGUUUUCAAACAUGUUGUUGACAUUAAAAUACAAAAUAAGCAUUUUUUCUCUAACCAUCCAACAUGUCAUUUUAGACAUGUUGUCUUUGCACUAUUUCGUGUUAAACAUGGUUUAAAUAAUUUGCAACACCAAAAUCUGUUUUCAGCAAGUUUCACACAAUGUCCUAAUUUUUCUGGAGUCAGGCUUGUAAUUGUAGGACAAAUUGUUCAAAGAGCGGAGGAACACACAGUUAAGAGGGGCCCCUUUUUGCCUCAGGGGCCCCUCGCAGGUUUAUUCUGCUGUGAUUUUUCAUCAGACGAUGCCACAUUUAGCCCCAAAUUCCCCUGACCUUGAGGGAUGUCAUGUGGCGACAUAUUUAGCAGUGUAUUCUUUUGUUUAAUCCUAAAGAACAUGCAGAGACCCUAUGUAAAAAACAUAAAGAGGGAUGUUUAAGACAUGUUUCUGGAACAGUCAGGCCUGGGACUCUCGCUCUUCCUGAACUGGAGCAUUCAUGGCUUGGUCACCCAGAUCAAUUAAGUGAAACCAAUCCACACCCUCCGUGGUUAAUGGGGGCUGCUACUUUCAUGUGGCUCACACAGACUCUUUUCUCUUUUGGCAUUUGUAAAUCCAAGCCUGAUCUAACUGAUUAACAGGAAAACAAGCAACCCGGCCAUCACAUGAUAUGCAGGCUGCAGGACAGAGCGUGUCAGUGGAGGACAUGUUGGACAGAUGGAACUCCGGUGUCGCCACAAACUCAACGGUUGCCAUUCGGAGUAACUGAGUAUAUCAGAUGAUGAGCCCAACCAGAGCAUGACACUGCGGGACAUCUGAGGCUAGAUUUUACGUACCAUUACUAAAACACUGCUGUUCUGGUUGUGUGUUUCCAACAUAGAAUCUGUAGUUGUAGUAGUAGUAGUGGUGGUGGUGGUAGUAGUAAUUGCGGCGCCAGAUUUCAAUCUUUUUUUUGUUGUUGUUGGAGGUUUUCAGAUUUUUGGCUCCUUGAAUUCGUCUUGUGAAUCACUCUCAGUCAUGGAUCAUUAUAAGAGGCUGAAAGAGGUGAAACUUUAGCGUAAUCAACUAAAAAAGCACAGAUAAAAGCAACACCAGGAAGUCCAAAUUUCAUGCUUUUAGGUAGAUUUCCUUUUAACAUCUUAAAAGUUGUCCUUAAACCCUCAGCCUGAUCUCGUGGCUUGUUUGAGGAUCUCCCCAGAAAAAAAAUAUAAACAACUUAGGUGCGGCAUUCAGAUUUGUAGUAAUGUCGUCAAAGGCCUGAACUGCCAGAGGACUUCACUUAGUUCCUCUCUCUUUAUUUGUUGUCUUCGUGAAUGUUUUUCUCUAACCUAAUAACUGCUCGGGAGUUUUUGAGCCUCUUUGUCUUGCAGCCGUGGCCGUUUAGGACAGCCGGUUGCUCUUCACAAAGUCAGUUUUUUUUGCACAAAUUUGCAUUAGUAAAUGUUUCCAUUUUUUUUUUUUUUUACAUUAACCCUUUUUUUUAAAAUUUUUUUUAAGAUUUUGAGCAAAAGUAAUUUGGUUAUGAACAUAUUUUCUGGACCAUUGACCUCCUUCAUCCAAAUCAACUAAAAGGGAUAGAACACAAAGCAUGCACCAACACUAAGAUGAAUGGGGGGGAAAUGAACCAAAUUAUGUGAGGAAGUUAAAUUUGAAAUAGAAGAAAUGAAAAAAAAAAUAGACCUUUUUCUCUGGAGCAAUGGGCAACUGUGCAGGGCUCCUGGUUAUGAGGGAUGACAGACUACUGGUGAGGUCUUCUUCUCUGCAUGCUGGCAUCAUUUAUUUUGAGAAAAUGUCUCUGAGCGGAUUGUUAGCUGCACUUGCAUGCAAGUAUUUGUUCACAGACAUCAAUUCAAGUUCAGUGAGAUCAGAAAUAUCAGAUUUCAGCUCUUGGGAUUUAGCAGAUUGCGCUCUCCUUUUCCUCUUCACUUGGACUGUUUUCCUCUAUUUGACUGGUUGUGGGAACUACUUAUACUAUUAACAGAAACCAGACCAGUUUGAAACACAAAAUGAUACAUUUAUCAAGUCGUUUGUAUAUCAUCUUUACAUUAAGUGGCUAUUUUAACAGUAAGAUUAGUAGGGUUUCUCUUUUAAAGAUACAAAUGGCUUUAGAAAGAAAUCUUGUAGGAUUAGAGCUGUAAUUUUGCCUGAGAUGUUAAAUUAGUGCUGGAAAGAAUCCCUCUGUCAUAGCAAGUUCAAAUGUUUGCACACCUUUCUUAGAUUUAAAGUCUUACUCUGUGACAAGCUGUUCUUACAUCCUGUCUUCAGCUCAGGCCUUACCUUUUUCUGGUGUUCGCAGUUUCUGCAGCCUUCUGUUGAGUUCAUCUUUUAGGUCAAAGUAAAGGUGACCUUUGUUCAUUCUGUGAAGGACAAUUAGUCUUUCAAGCAGUAGUAAUUAAAAAAUAACAAUAAAAACCUUACAAAUAAUAACAUUUUCACCCAAACAGUGACAAUAGCUAAAACUAGAAGAGAUGUAUGUCCAUGGAUUAAAACUACAAUAAAGUAAGGACUAGGUCAGUCAUUUAAAGACCCUGUGGCAGCUGGGACAGGUGAGUUUCUGAAUCUCUCAGUCCUGCAUAAUGUCAGGUUGUACCUGCAGCCUGGAGGCAGAAGCUUGAACUCUUUAGGAUCAGCUAGGACGGACUGGACCCUCUUUAGUGUCCUGCCUCUGUACAGGUCUACCUGCAGCUUUUUAUACCUCCUUUUAAUUCUGUGCCUACUUGAACCGUUUACUCUUUAUUCAUUUGUUAUAUUUUAGACUCUCUGACGCACCCAAGAGAUGGCGCUGAGCACGCUCUCUGCCUUAAAGAAAAAGACUGAAUUUACUGUCUUCCAGACUAAUGCUGUGAAGAUCGAUUAGAGUCAAAAUGAGAAAAAAACAAACCCUCUAACUAAAAGUGAUCUUUGUUUUUCUUGUACAUUUGCUGGUUUUAGCUCCAAUAGUAGAAAACAUAGUAAUCAAAAGGACUGGCCUAAUAUAAACUGCCCUGUUUGUGCUGUGUGUUGGUGUAUUAUGGGUACUUGAUGUGCCUCCAGUAUUCACACUCUGCACUGUAAAUACAGUACAGUGAAUAUUUGUAAUAAAAAAUCAACUGUAGCAGAUUUUUUAAUGUAAUGAUAUUUAUAAUAAAUAUACUUUGUUAUUUCUGUCAAUAUCAGUAUGUGUCUGAAGGUGGUGCUGGUGAAAGAAGCAGCACACUUGAUAGAACAGUGACAAUACAUUUCUUUUAUUUGCACUGCAUUAAUAUCAGGAAAUGUGUCUAACGUCUGUCCUCUGUUCAAUUUCAAAUUUAUGUAUAAAUAACAUAGAACACUGUAUGACAGAUUAGCGGUGUAGAUGAAGUAUAAAAAGUCUGAGAGGAAUAAAGACAUUUAAUUAUUAUGGUAGCAAAACAAACAAACAUAUAAACCAACUUCCAGAUUACCCUGUGUUAUAUACCUGUAUCUAUUUGACUCAAUUAAAACUACAUUUUUAUUCAUUUCUAUGAAAAUUUAGCAGCAAAGUUUAGCUCUGUGGUUAAAUCAUAUGUGACGCACAGAGACUAGAGUUUAAACCUAACCUGCUGUCUUUUACUGCACGUCAUUUGAUCUUGUUUUCAGUAGAGGGCACGGUUCAACCUGCAUACUGACCCCAUCUUAUUAAUUUGUUGUUUACUUUAUUUCAUAUCCUGAUAUUGCAUUCUAUCUCUGUUUUACUGAGCGAUACCCUUAGAUUACUGAGUUCAGUCUUCACUGUAACAAGUUUUGUCCUGUGUGUUCAUGUAAAAUGAGGCCUGCCUACUCAUCAUAUGUUAACAUCAUUAAAUCUAUCUACAUGUACAAAUACAGUAACCUUAAUUCUUAAUUCUUCCUCACUCCAUCUUUUCCUCUUAAAGGCAUAAAAAGCCUAAAAACUAACCCUGGGAGCAAAUAACAAUCUUGACUAUCAGGAUAUAAUUGUUAACCAAAGAGUCGAAUAUCUCGUGUAGAAAUGCACCUUAGUUAUGUAUUAAUGCAUCAACAGUGUGUCUUUUAAGUCACAGAGCAGAUCACAGAUUUUGCAUUAUCAGAUUGAAACGUGAAAAUUCAAUGGUGCAGAUGCAUUCAAACACACACAGUAUUACUUUAAGGUAAAUGGUCAUUACAUCCGGAACCAUCAUGUCCUCUGUUAGUUUGAAUCAAUAUUAAUCUGUUGAGAGUCUUUCAGAAGUGUCCGCAGCUCUCCCUGCCUCCCUGAUUCUGACUCUGUCUGCAGAUCUUCAUCUCAAGUCUGAGCAAGAAGAGCCUGCAGGCCUUCACAUUCCCAGAUAAUGUCCAUAAGUGUUGGUCCAUUAUUAUGCUAUUGUAUCGCCGCCAUAUACCUACAUUAAUUACAUGAAUCUGGCCUACUUUCCUUGUUCAUAGUUUCAGUUAAACCUCAUAUUCUUUUAAUGUUCUUAUUCAAAAUCUGUUAAAUAUUUUUCAAACCCAUAAAUGCACUAAAAUGCUCUUUUAGUAAAACUGUAUAAAUGUGGACCAUGCAACCACAAAUACUGCAUCUUUUGUAUGUGUAUUUAGGUCUGUAGUAGUCAAAUUCUUUGUAUAUUUACAUGCAUACAUGUAAAAAAAUGCUGAUUCUGAUCCAGUACACCAACAUAUUUGACUUACUGCUUACUCUGCUUUUAUUUUGCUUUUUGAUUCUUACCUACCCUACCAUUUAUUUGCUUUUAAUGCAUUUUUAUUUCUUCCUUUUCGGCCUGCAAAUCCAAACUAUUACUCUCCUUUCUUAUUUCAGUAAUCAGAGGGAUACUGCAGCAUCAUCCAAGAUGCAAAACCUGGUGAAACAAAAGCCAUUUGUGGUCCUUCUUAUUCAAGUCCUUGUCUUUGGAGGUAAAUCAUCUUUUUAGACUUUAUUUUUAAACAUUUUUUAAUUCUUUCAUAUGAUUCAUGACAGAAAGAGAGGAUUCAGAGGCUGAAUCAAAGGGAGAGAGUACAGAUUGUGCUGUAUUGAGUUAUGUUUGCAUUAUUUGAAGCUGUUUUGUUUGUUUCCAGCUGC